rnacentral:tRNA from 1 species
UGUUCUGUGGCUUAAUUGAUUAAAGCGCCGCACUAGCGAUUCAGAGUCGUGGGUUCGAGUCCCACCAAAACAA